rnacentral:lncRNA from 1 species
UGCGGUUGUUUGAUGGCGGUGGGUUUAGCCGAAGAUGUAGAGACGUUGUUUCAUAACGGUGGUUCUGCCACCGGUGAUCACCAUUUGGGCUCCGUUUCGGCACAGUAGAUCGGAAACCACAAACCUCAUGUUAGAGUUUUCAUACGCAAAGAGUAAGAGAAAGACCUUACGGUGUACAGAAGGAGAGAGACAGACGGUGGGGUUUAUGGUUCCGCCUCCUCCCCGACCUUCUUCAAAACUAUUCAAAGAGAGAGAACAGUGGAGCGGCUCCGGAAUAAAGAGAGAAGGAUGACAGAUUAGAAUGCUUGCCUGCCACCGAUCUGCCGUUGAAAGGCGCAGAAGAACGAAAGGAGCUUUCGAGGCAGCGCCCACUUCCAAUUUCAUCAGCAAUUGUUCUGGCCAGAACCAAUAAGGAGCAAUAAAGUUUUAGGAGCCGAUUGUCAUGUUAAUAUUGGACAAAUCACUAGGUUUGGAAAUUCAACCAAGACCCAAGAAAGGCUCCGGGCGACUCAUGCGGCUACAAAUGAUUCACGAAGAUAAUUAGCUAAGCCUCAUUGAAGAUUCAAGCUUCCGAUGUCGAAUGAUGACGCAAGAAGAUUUCAAAUUUCAGCAUUUGAAAAAUGAAAUUUGGGAAUUUUCGGGAUUGCUUUUCAUAUCACGAUUCAACCAUGGUGUGUAGGAAGGAUGUCGCCUACGUUAUCAUAAAGCUUGAUGUUUGAGGGUGAUUAUAUCGAACGGGAAAAGAAAAGAAAUAUCAUUCCAUGGAAGUUGCUUAUGUAUAAAAGUGGAGAUCAUAAAUAGGAUUAACUACGUUGCAGGAGAGGAUAAUGUUCGUGAACUUCCACUAGCUCAAGUUCCUAAGUUGGCUACAAAAGUUGAGUAGCAGCAAUGCGUCAAAACAACAAAGCAACCAUGAAGUUAAAAACUUCGCUUGAUGUCAUAUGCUAUAGCGCGUGUUGGCGAUGUUUCGUCAUUCGUUGCCCGCGCCGCAACGCGCGCGGGGUCUAAUUUCUAGUUAAACAAUUUAAACGGUACUACAGUCUACACAUUGAAUUGAUCAAUUGAAUAAGGCCAAGGUCAUUAUUCUACGUCAAAAUAAGCACACACUUUUGUAUUCUAUAGGGCACUAUUUAUAUAGGAGUGGAUUACAUUAAAACAUAAUGUAAUAUUUUUUUUAAAUAUUUUUUGUUAUAUUAGCAUAAUAUAAGUGUUUAUACAACCAUGUAAAUCCCAAUACAUUGUAAUAUAGUUUCACAUUUUUACCAUUUAAUAUAAGAUUUUUUAC